GUGACACGUCACAGAGCUGCCACCGCUAGAGGAAUAUCGCCCUUGUGUCACUUGCGCGAUCAGACCUGAAAUCAGUUGAGAUCAACACACAGCACUGAACGAGGGCACGAGCUGGUCACUUCACCCGCCGCUGUCUCAGUACGCCCAGUCUUUCUUAACAUGGGGCUCAGAUAAAUCUGCAUAGUCACUAAGUGAAGGGGGGCAGGAUGAAGGUAUAAAAGAUGAAAAACAGCAGGAGUUCUGUAAAAAUACAUAGAGAGAGAGAAGAGAUGUCAUUCUGACAAACACCUUCAGCUGAAAUGAUAUAAAGAUGAUGAUCACCUCCUAAUAGCUGAUGAGGAGCUGUAGGUUUUGGAGGAGGAUGAUGAUGAGGGCAUCGUUAAGCUCUUCCUCAGAGAUGAGGCAUUAGUGCUGAUCGCCGCUCUGGACGGCAAGACCAAAGAUGCCGGCCGUGCUGCUAUAAAAAUACAGUGGAUGAUUUAAGAUCGGUGCUCGCGUCUCUCUGGAGGAGCAUUCAGAUGUGAAUGAGAAUGUGAUGGAUGUAUAAUAGUUUUAUACUGAACUAUUAGUCGUCACCAAACGUCUCAUUGAAGUAUAAUUUGUAUAAGUAUAAUUUGUGUUGUGCUGAUAUGAUCUCUGUGUGUGUGUGGCACCUUUAGC